GAGACUGAGGGGAGAUAUGUAAGCACUUGUAGAAUACCUGAAAGGCUGUCUCAAAGAAGACUAGGAUCAUGCCAGAAUGCAGGACAUAGUAUAAUAGGCUCAAUAGGAUUGCACUGAAAGCAUUGCACUACUGGCUAAGACUGUUUGUAGUGAUGGAAGCAAUGAGGCAGGGUGUGGUUUUACAUCCCCCUUCUCCCUUACUGCAUCACACUGGUGGAGAAUGCAGGCAGGACACAGGGAAUGGAACAGCAGUGCCUGCUCCAGAAGUUAGCCUCCCAACAAACACAGUUAAUGGAGCAGGUGCUUAAUGCUCAACUGCAGAAUCAGAGCAUGUUAAUGCAGCAAAUGGUGGGGGGUUUAUGCCCAUCCCAGUUGGAGACUGAAGGCAGCACCUCCACAGAGGUAUGCAGGAGAGGGGAAGCCCCUGUGUGCAUAUUGAAGAUGACUCCAGAGGACAAUCCCAAACCCUUUUGAGAGGACGUCCCUCACCACUAAGUGACCAAAGAAUGGGGAAGGCUUUGUUUGGAGGUGGGGACCAGGAAGGGGGUCUGAUUCCUUAAACCGGGGGAGUAGGUAGAUGAUUGGAUAGAAUGACAUGGGCGGAUAUGCCAGCCUGGGCCAAUUAAUAGGGAUCAAGGGGUCUAGCCCCUUGGGCAGGAUGUGGCAGCUCCCCCACCCCCUCAGGUAAAGGCCAGAAGACCCAAAGGGGCAGGGGCCAGGCCCUUUGUUUGCUUUACACAGGGAAAGAAGGGCACAUAAGAUGAGAGUGCCCCCUCAUGGAAAGCAAUUAUGUGGAGGUUUGACUAUCAGCCCAGGUAGAUUUUCUGCCCAAAUGGGCCUGGUGGGUGAAGGACCAAAGGAAUGGCAGGGAGGUUGAAGGGCUUAGUCGCACUCUAGUACAAGAAGCAGGUGGUAGUCCCCUGAAUGAGAUACUGCAGGGGCAAUGCAUUCAUGGGGGUGUCAAACCCUAACCUUAUGCCACCUGAUGGGCAAAAGUGGAGGUGCAAGGGCAAAUGUUGUUUUGUAAAGUGGGAAUUGUUCCUAGUCUGGUCUAUGGACAAAUAAUAGGGUGGAACUGGCUUCACUUUGAGGUGUUUGUGAGGAAGGUCUCUUAAGGGGAGGCUAUGGUUGGGGAGGACGACGAUAUUGGGCUCCUGCCACUGUAGGUAUCAAGAGCCCAGUUUAUUUAUUUAUUUUUUUACAACAGAAUGAUUACUCUCUAGGCCAAGUCCUGUGCUGAUUCAGAGAUGGGCCAAAGGAGAGGCCAGGGACCUUAUUUUGAGAUAGCUGGAGAUUUAUUGUAACUUUCAAAGUCCCCGAUUUCAUAUCCUGAAGAGAAGAAUUUGAAUGUGAACCCUAUAUACUACCUGAUGAGCUUCAACAUUUCCAGGCUUAAUGAUUGCUAUUUUUGCUCAAUUGUUUUUAACUUGUGUACUUAGUAAAAAUAGUCACAUAGAGAUUUUUAAAUAUUUAAAGAUCCAGAAUAACAGAAUGUUCCUCUCAACAAAAUUACUGUGUCUGCUACAGCAGCUGCAAUUUCAUUACACAGGAAAUUCCAUGUUCACUAUUUUUUAAAAAAUAGCAUCUGGGCAACUUACAUUUUCAUUAUAAUUAAUGAUUUUUAAGCCAUUAGAAGAGUAGAAGCAAUAUAUUAUAAGAAAGUGCUGUAGGCUGUGAUCUUUUUCAAGGUUCAUUUUAAAACUGAGGAAUUAAACUUCCAAAUGGUUUGGGAUGGAGCAAUCUGAACAGGUAGGUUCCUUUGCAUGCCUUUUGAGAUGCAGAAGAUGGGGACAUAAGAUUGAGUUUUCUUGCUUGCAGCACCUGGAUUGUGGAAGGAACAGUUAGUUUAGCAAACUCCCUUACCCAUCAUGACUGGUUAUGCAAGGUACUGAGGAGGUGCGCCCCAGGUCCUGGAGACUGUGAGUUCCUCUUUAAGAGAGGGAGUAGUCCCAGCCUCAUUGAAAGGGGCCAUUAUUAGACCACUCCUGAAGAAGGCCAACUUGGACCCAGAGGAUGUGAACCAGCUGCUAAUAUUCCCCUCCUGGGCAAGGAGUUUCAGUGGGUGGUGGCUGGCCAGCUCCAGAUACUCUUGGAUGAAACAGACCAUCUUGAUCCAUUUCGAUCAGGAUUCAGGAUGGAAACUGCAUUGGUGCUCUAUGGGAUGACCUGUGCUGGGAGAGAGACAGGGUGAGUGCAACCCUAUUGGUUCUCCUGGACCUCUCAGCAGGUUUCAGUAUCAUUGACCAUGGUAUCCUUCUGGACAGGUUAGUUAAAUUGGGAGCAGGGGUCACUGCUUUGCAGUGAUUCCACUCCUACUUGACUUGGCCAUGUCCAGAAGGUAGUGUUGGGGGAUUAUUGCUCUGCACCAUGGUAUUUAUGCUAUGGAGUUCUGCAGGGCUCUAUUUAAUCCCCCAUGCUCUUUAACAUCUACAUGAAAUGGCUGGGUGAGGUUAUCAGACAGUGUGGGCUGAGUUGUCAUUAGUAUGCUGAUGAAACUCAGCUUUACCUUUCUUUUUUAUCAGGUGCAGGUGCGGCAGUGGAUGCUCUGAAUAGAGGUCUGGCUUUGUUAAUGGAUUGGAUGAGGGCUAAUAAACUGAAACUUAAUCCAGAUAAGAUGGAGAUACUGUUGGUGGGUCCCUGGCCUGUGCAUGAAGAUGGUGAACCCCUCUUGGAGGGAGGAUAUGUCAGGAGGUGGAGGAGCUCACUUAUCUUCCCAUGGCAGCCACCAGUGAGUUGCCAGAGAUUAGGGGCAUGGCCGGGAAUCUGCUUGGGAGGAACAAGGCAUGUGACUCUCUUUGUGGGAAUGUGCGGGUACAUGCACAGCUGCGCGGGAUUGGCAGCCAGAGCAAGGAAACCCGCACUGGGGAAGGGAGAAUAAAGGCAGGGUCAAGACUAACAGGAGGUGAUGUUGGACAGAGGAGGGGAGAGUGAAUGAGAGCGCAGAGGAGGGAAGGAAAGGACGAGGUGAUGCGCAAAAAAAGCUGGAAGUGGCUGGUGUUGCUGCAGUGUGCAGACAGCCAGACAGGAGCAGCAAGGGUAGACCCUGUGCCCAAGGAUGCAGCUCUUUGCCUUAGAACCAGGGCUUUGGCAUUUCCGGCCACAACAGAAGCAGUAAACCACAAAUAAAAGAACCUGCUUGGUGAGCUUA